rnacentral:rRNA from 1 species
GAUGAACGCUAGCGGCAGGCCUAAUACAUGCAAGCCGGACGGCAAGUUGAGUAGCAAUACUUGACCUAGAGUGGCGUAAGGGUGCGUAACACGUAUGCAAUCUGCCCACAGCCGGGAGAUAGCCCUCCGAAAGGAGGAUUAAUAUCCCAUAGGAAGAUGAGAUGGCAUCAUUUUAUUUUUAAACUACGGGGCUGUGGAUGAGCAUGCGGUUGAUUAGCUAGUUGGCGGGGUAAAGGCCCACCAAGGCGAUGAUCAAUAGGGGACCUGAGAGGGUGAUCCCCCACACUGGCACUGAGAUACGGGCCAGGACUCCUACGGGAGGCAGCAGUAGGGAAUAUUGGGACAAAUGGGUGUAAGCCUGAUCCAGCCAUGCCGCGUGCAGGAAGAAGGCCUUCUGGGUUGUAAACUGC